AUUGAACGCUGGCGGCAUGCCUUACACAUGCAAGUCGAACGGCAGCACGGGUGCUUGCACCUGGUGGCGAGUGGCGAACGGGUGAGUAAUACAUCGGAACGUACCUUAUCGUGGGGGAUAACGCAGCGAAAGUUGCGCUAAUACCGCAUACGCCCUGAGGGGGAAAGCGGGGGACCGUAAGGCCUCGCGCGAUUAGAGCGGCCGAUGUCUGAUUAGCUUGUUGGUGAGGUAAAAGCUCACCAAGGCGAUGAUCAGUAGCUGGUCUGAGAGGACGAUCAGCCACACUGGGACUGAGACACGGCCCAGACUCCUACGGGAGGCAGCAGUGGGGAAUUUUGGACAAUGGGGGCAACCCUGAGCCAGCAAUGCCGCGUGAGUGAAGAAGGCCUUCGGGUUGUAAAGCUCUUUUGUCAGGGAAGAAACAGCAGCUCUAACACAGUCUGCGAAUGACGGUACCUGAAGAAUAAGCACCGGCUAACUACGUG
rnacentral:rRNA from 1 species